UACGUAGGGUGCGAGCGUUAAUCGGAAUUACUGGGCGUAAAGCGUGCGCAGGCGGUUUUGUAAGCCAGAUGUGAAAUCCCCGGGCUUAACCUGGGAAUGGCAUUUGGGACUGCAAGGCUUGAGUGCGGCAGAGGAGACUGGAAUUUACGGUGUAGCAGUGAAAUGCGUAGAGAUCGUAAGGAAGGCCAGUGGCGAAGGCGGGUCUCUGGACAGUUCCUGACACUGAGGCACGAAGGCCAGGGGAGCAAACGGG
rnacentral:rRNA from 1 species